UACGAAGGGGGCUAGCGUUGCUCGGAAUUACUGGGCGUAAAGGGCGCGUAGGCGGACAGUUUAGUCAGAGGUGAAAGCCCAGGGCUCAACCUUGGAACUGCCUUUGAUACUGACUGUCUUGAGUUCGGGAGAGGUGAGUGGAAUGCCGAGUGUAGAGGUGAAAUUCGUAGAUAUUCGCAAGAACACCCGUGGCGAAGGCGGCUCACUGGCCCGAUACUGACGCUGAGGCACGAAAGCGUGGGGAGCAAACAGG
rnacentral:rRNA from 1 species